CAAUCAGCCCGCUCCUAUUUGUACCCCCUUUGUCUUCCAGUCAGUGCUGGAUCAUUGUCGUUGCCACAUGUCGCGUUGAUGUCAUUUUCUACUUGUCAUUCCUACUGGUCGUGUGAAUGCAGCGUAGCGCGUCCGCGCGUGUGCCGUCUGACAGAAGAAUGACAAGAUGUUAUGAGCCGUGAGUCCUGUGGAAGAUGCAUCCAGCGAGGAGAGCGCCUCAAUUAUUUGGGUUUCUGAGGGAAAAUAGAUGAGUGCAGAGACCUCAGACCACAGCACGAAACGACGUCAGGCCCAUUAAAGAAAUGCCAGAAGGGCCCUCACCUUUUGUGUAACGACCUGGUCGCAUCGUGAUGCGGAUUUGUUCUCCCAGGGAUGCAGACGGGCUUCGGACACAACGUGCAGUCCCCCUCUCUUCAUGGUCUCCGGCGCUGCCAAAAAAGGAACAGGUGAUUAGAUAACUCUUUCCGGCUGAGGUAUCCACUCAACUGUUGGCUGCUCGAUGGCCGGCCCCUGCACAUACCCCACUUGCAGGGAACACGUGGACCACGCCCCUCUCCACAUUCAUCUUGAAUAAAAAUGUAGCAUUGAAAAUUGCAUUAGAAUUAAUAAACUCUAAUAAAUCAAUACAUAUACCAAUAAUCUAGGCUAGACCAGUGGUCCCCAACCUUUUUGUAUCCGCGGACCGGUCAACGCUUAAUAAUUUGUCCCGCGGCCCGGGUGGGGGGAGUCCUUUUUUUUUUUUUCUUUUUUUUUUCUUUGUCAUGAAAAAGGGACGUUUUUGUCAUGAAAAAGGGAGUUUUUUGUGGUCAGUGCAAUAAUUGUAAGUGUAUAUUGUGUUUUUUAUGUUGAUUUAAUAUUUAAAAAAAAUAUUAUUAUUAUUGUUUUUUUUUUUUUAUAAAUAAAAAUUAAUAAGAAAUUAUUCUGCGGCCCGGUGGUUGGGGACCACCGGGCUAGACUACUGCAACGCACUUCUUGUCGGGAUCCCCAGCAAGAAGAUCCAGAAGCUGCAGUACUUACAGAAUUACUUUCCUCAGUUCCCAAACGUUUAUUGAGUGUUGUUAGAAGCAAUGGUGAUAAAACACAGUGGUGAACAUACCCUUUCCCAACUACUUUGGCACGUGUUGCAGCAAUGAAAUUCUAAGUUAAUUAUUAUAUGCAUAAAACAAGUAAAGUUUAGGAGUUUGAACAUCAAAUAUGUUGUCUUUGUAGUGCAUUCAACUGAAUAUGGGUUGAAAAUGAUUUGCAAAUCAUUGUAUUCCGUUUAUAUUUACAUCUAACACAAUUUCCCAACUCAUAUGGAAACGGGGUUUGUACUAUUCAUGUUUAAAUAACUUUUACUGCAAAUUAAUAUGGGCUCCAAAUAUUGGUUAUGGUAAAUAAUUCCACUUUCAAAGCUUCAACAAUUAGUUUCCUCACUUCCCAAACGUUUAUUGAGUGUUGUUAAAAGAAAAGAUGAUGCAAAACAGUGGUGAACAUGCCCUUUCCCAACUACUUUGUCAUGUGUGGCAGCCAUGAAAUUCUAUGUUAAUUAUUAUUUGCAAAAUGAGUUUGAACAUCAAAUAUCUUGUCUUUGUAGUGCAUUCAACUGAAUAUGGGAUGAAAAAGAUUUCCAAAUGAUUUUAUUCUGUUUAUAUUUACAUCUAACACAAUUUCCCAACUCGUAUGGAAACGGGGUUUGUACUAUUCAUGUUUAAAUAACUUUUACUGCAAAUUAAUAUGGGCUCCAAAUAUUGGUUAUGGUAAAUAAUUCCACUUUCAAAGCUUCAACAAUUAGUUUCCUCACUUCCCAAACGUUUAUUGAGUGUUGUUAAAAGAAAAGAUGAUGUAACACAGUGGUGAACAUGCCCUUUCCCAACUACUUUGUCAUGUGUUGCAGCCAUGAAAUUCUAUGUUAAUUAUUAUUUGCAAAAUAAAAUAAAUGAUAAAUGGGUUGUACUUGUAUAGCGCUUUUCUACCUUCAAGGUACUCAAAGCGCUUUGACACUACUUCCACAUUUACCCAUUCACACACACAUUCACACACUGAUGGAGGGAGCUGCCAUGCAAGGCGCCAACCAGCACCCAUCAGGAGCAAGGGUGAAGUGUCUUGCUCAGGACACAACGGACGUGACGAGGUUGGUACUAGGUGGGAUUUGAACCAAUGAC